GACGAACGCUGGCGGCGUGCUUAACACAUGCAAGUCGAACGAAGAGCGAUGGAAGCUUGCUUCUAUCAAUCUUAGUGGCGAACGGGUGAGUAACGCGUAAUCAACCUGCCCUUCAGAGGGGGACAACAGUUGGAAACGACUGCUAAUACCGCAUACGAUCUAAUCUCGGCAUCGAGGAUAGAUGAAAGGUGGCCUCUACAUGUAAGCUAUCACUGAAGGAGGGGAGUGCGUCUGAUUAGCUAGUUGGAGGGGUAACGGCCCACCAAGGCGAUGAUCAGUAGCCGGUCUGAGAGGAUGAACGGCCACAUUGGGACUGAGACACGGCCCAGACUCCUACGGGAGGCAGCAGUGGGGAAUCUUCCGAAAUGGACGAAAGUCUGACGGAGCAACGCCGCGUGAGGGAUGACGGCCUUCGGGUUGUAAAGCUCUGUUAAUCGGGACGAAAGGCCUUCUUGCGAAUAGUGAGAAGGAUUGACGGUACCGGAAUAGAAAGCCACGGCUAACUACGUG
rnacentral:rRNA from 1 species